CAGGGAAUAGUUUAAGAUAGAAUGUCAGCUUUGGGAGUUGAAGGUGGAGUGGAAAAUUUCUUCCCUGA
rnacentral:tRNA from 1 species